rnacentral:lncRNA from 1 species
GGGGGCUGCCGGGUGCUCAAUGGCGGCGGCCAUCUUGGGCGUGGCUUCGCUCACGCUGCUGGCGGCCAUCUUGGACGCAUCUCUCGCGGCGCCGGCAGCCAUCUUGGAGACCAUGGGGCGCUCCGUGGGGGCAGCCAUCUUGGAUACGUCAUCGCCCAUGGUGCCGGCAGCCAUCUUGGAGACCAUGGAGCGCUCCAUGGGGGCGGCCAUCUUGGCCGAGCUGUCACUCACGGUGCUGGCGGCCAUCUUGGAUGCCGUGGGGCGCUCCGUGGUGGCAGCCAUGUCAGAUACGUCAUCGCCCGUGGUGCCGGCAGCCAUCUUGGAGACCAUGGAGCGCUCCGUGGGGGCAGCCAUGUUGGUCGAGCCAUCACUCGUGGUGUUGGCGGCCAUCUUGGAGACCAUGGGUUGCUCCAUGGUGGCAGCCAUGUCGGAUACGUCAUCGCCCAUGGUGCCGGCAGCCAUAUUGGCGGCCAUGGAGCGCUCCACGGGGGCAGCCAUGUUGGCUGGGCCAUCACUCCUGGGGCUGGCGGCCAUCUUGGAUGCCACGGGUUGCUCCGCGGCGGCAGCCAUGUUGCCCGUACCAUCACUCACGGUGCAGGCGGCCAUCUUGGCGGCCACGAGGCACUCGGCGGGGGCAGCCAUGCUGGCUGAGCCAUCGUUCACGGGGCUGGCGGCCAUAUUGGCGGCCAUCUUGGCGGCCACGGGGCCCUCCGCGGGGGCGGCCAUGUUGGAGGAAGCCGGGGCGUCGCUCCACCAGCUGCGGGGACGAGAGGGGACCCGGCGUCACCCCCUCCCCCAAAACGGCCAGGGGGAGGGGGGGCAGCCCCUCCCCCACCCCGCAGGGACCCAGGCGUCCGGGGCACCUGGCUGGGGCUCAGGCCGUGCUCCUCUUCCAGCUCCGCCGCCAGGGCCAGGGGAUCGCGGAGAGGCUCCGGGGACAGGAGGGCAGCCAUGAAGGGCGGGUAGAGGACGGCUUCGGCCUGCGGGAGAGAGCGAAACCGGACGCCUGGGCCCCUGCCCCGGAUGCCUGGGCCCCUUCCCAGAAGCCUGGGCCCCUUCCCGGAC